rnacentral:rRNA from 1 species
GCUCACACAAGCGGUGGAGCAUGUGGCUUAAUUCGAAGCAACGCGAAGAACCUUAUCCUAGGCUUGACAUGCACGGAUUAGUCNUCUGAAAGGAGGAGUACACCCGCAAGGGCGGAACGUGCACAGGUGCUGCAUGGCUGUCGUCAGCUCGUGCUGUGAAGUGUCGGGUUAAGUCCCUCAACGAGCGAAACCCCUGUCGUUAGUUGCUAACGGGUAAUGCCGAGGACUCUAGCGAGACUGCCGGUGUCAAACCGGAGGAAGGUGGGGAUGACGUCAAGUCCUCAUGGCCUUUAUGCCUAGGGCUGCACACGUGCUACAAUGGUGCAUACAGAACGACGCAAGACCGCAAGGUGGAGCAAAUCGCUCAAAGUGCACCCCAGUUCGGAUUGUGGGCUGAAACCCGCCCGCAUGAAGUCGGAAUCGCUAGUAAUCGCGGAUCAGCUACGCCGCGGUGAAUAUGUUCCUGAGCCUUGUACACACCGCCCGUCAAGUCAUGGGAGCUGGCAGCGCCCGAAGUCGCCUCAAUUCAGAGGUGCCCACGGCGAAGCUGGUGACUGGGACUAAGUCGUAACAAGGUAGCAGUAGGGGAACUCUGCGGCUGGAUCACCUCCUU